rnacentral:rRNA from 1 species
CUACGGAGGAUCCGAGCGUUAUCCGGAUUUAUUGGGUUUAAAGGGAGCGUAGGCGGGAGAUCAAGUCAGCUGUGAAAUGUAGGCGCUCAACGUGUGCACUGCAGUUGAAACUGGUUUUCUUGAGUGCGUAAGGGGCAGGCGGAAUUCGUCGUGUAGCGGUGAAACUCUUAGAUAUGACGAAGAACUCCGAUCGCGAAGGCGGCUGGCCGGGCCGCAACUGACGCUGAAGCUCGAAGGUGCGGGUAUCGAACAGGAUUAGAUACCCUGGUAGUCCGCACAGUAAACGAUGGAUACUCGCUGUCGGCGAUAUACGGUCGGUGGCCAAGCGAAAGCGUUAGGUAUCCCACCUGGGGAGUACGCCGGCAACGGUGAAACUCAAAUGAAUUGACGGGG